AGAGUUUGAUCCUGGCUCAGGAUGAACGCUAGCUACAGGCUUAACACAUGCAAGUCGAGGGGAAACGGACAUCGAAAGCUUGCUUUUGAUGGGCGUCGACCGGCGCACGGGUGAGUAACGCGUAUCCAACCUGCCCACCACUUGGGGAUAACCUUGCGAAAGUAAGACUAAUACCCAAUGAUAUCUCUAGAAGACAUCUGAAAGAGAUUAAAGAUUUAUCGGUGAUGGAUGGGGAUGCGUCUGAUUAGCUUGUUGGCGGGGUAACGGCCCACCAAGGCGACGAUCAGUAGGGGUUCUGAGAGGAAGGUCCCCCANAUUGGAACUGAGACACGGUCCAAACUCCUACGGAGGCA
rnacentral:rRNA from 1 species